rnacentral:rRNA from 1 species
CAGCAGUAGCCGCGGUAAUACGUAGGUGGCAAGCGUUGUCCGGAACUAUUGGGCGUAAAGGGCUCGCAGGCGGUUUCUUAAGUCUGAUGUGAAAGCCCCCGGCUCAACCGGGGAGGGUCAUUGGAAACUGGGAAACUUGAGUGCAGAAGAGGAGAGUGGGAUUCCACGUGUAGCGGUGAAAUGCGUAGAGAUGUGGAGGAACACCAGUGGCGAAGGCGACUCUCUGGUCUGUAACUGACGCUGAGGAGCGAAAGCGUGGGGAGCGAACAGGAUUAGAUACCCCCGUAGUCCCUGUCUCUUAUAC